UGAGUGAUCGGUGAAUUAUUGAUCAAUUACCAUUAAUUAUGGAUAAAUUAUCGAUUAAUUAUUGAUAGCGGACGAGUCCCGGCUGCUAAUGAGGUGUAAUUGAGCCCCAGCAGUGUCCGGGGGCAGCGGGCUGUGACCGCCCGGUGAGGGGUGUCACCGUGUCCCCGAGUGUGUCACCGUGUGUGUCACCGUGUGUGUCACCGUGUGUGUCACCAUGGUGUUACCAUGUGUGUCACCGUGUCUCUGUGUGUGUCCCUGUGUCCCUGUCCCUGUGCCCGUGUCCCUGAGUGUGUCACCGUGUGUGUCACCAUGUGUGUCACCAUGUGUGUUACCAUGUGUGUCACCGUGUCCCCGAGUGUGUCACUGUGUGUGUCACUAUGUGUGUUACCAUGUGUGUCACCGUGUCACCGUGUGUGUCACCAUGUGUGUUACCAUGUGUGUCACCGUGUCACCGUGUGUGUCACCGUGUGUGUCACCAUGUGUGUUACCAUGUGUGUCACCGUGUCCCCGAGUGUGUCACCGUGUGUGUCCCUAUGUCCCUGUCCCUGUGUCCCCGUGUGCAUCCCUGUGUGUGUCACCGUGUCUCUGUGUGUGUCCCUGUGUCCCUGUCCCUGUGCCCGUGUCCCCGAGUGUGUCACCGUGUCCCUGUGUCCCUGUCCCCUGUCCCCACGUGUCCCCAUGUCCCUGUCCCCUUGCGUGUCCCUACAUGUGUCCCCGUGUCCCUGUCCCCUGUCCCUGUGUCUCUGUCCCCGUGUUUGUCCCCAUGUGUGUCACCGUGUCCCUGUGCCCUGUCCUUGUGCGUGCCACCGUGUCCCCUGUCACCUGUCCGUGUGUGUGUCCCCCCAUGUGUGUCACUGUGUGUGUCCCCCUGUCCGUGUGUCCCCCUAUCCUCAUGUCCCCAUGUCCUUCUUGUCCUUGUGUCCCGGUGUCCCCACGUCUGUCCGACAUCCCCAUGAGUGUCCCCCUGUCCCCGAGUGUGCAGCAGGGACAGCCCUGGCCACCCCCUGCACCUCCCGAUGUCCCCAGUGUCCCCUGGGUGUCCCUUGGGUGUC
rnacentral:lncRNA from 1 species